UUACCUUCAGACUGCCUAAUUCACCCUUCGUCAAACAGGGUGAAUGACACAGUCGGAGACGGACAGAAAAACAGAAAGACAGGAGAGGGGUGAUGCGACCCCGUGUCUAUUAAUCAGCUGCUCAGCCAUAGGCUCACAUCACAAGAGGAGAUAACGACUUUGUACACUUGCGCAAAGUCAUGUUGGAACGGGAUGGAGCCUUCCCGAAGCUAUCCCCAAAAAGAUGGAUUUGGAUGGAUGACCCAAUACUUCUGACGAAGAAAAGCCUGCUACCAGCUGCAGCUCAUCAGUUCAUCAACUCAGUGUUCUCGGUGCUUCAAGGAUUCAGAGAUAAUAUGUGGGAGUCUUCAGUCAGAAGUGACAUCUGCGUCUGGUCUCUUCCAGUUUCUGUAUUCUUCAUUAAUUAAACUGUUGCAGUCAUUCAUCACCUCAAACUAUUUGACCUGCCCAAAGCGCGCACUUGUUCAUUUCCACUCUACCUCUCCGAAGUGGCACUCUGCAAGCAAAUGAAAAAGACAGCAUACUUUGCUUUCAGGCCAUUACACACUCUCAUAUGGUUAUUCAAAGGGGCCCUUUUAUCAAAAAAUACAGCUUCAUGAAUGAUCAAUGCCGCUGUUAGAAGACCUUCCCCGACUCUUCAGGGCAGAAAUCAAGACUUGAUUUUAUGCAGAAUGAAUAGUUAAUGUUUAAAAAGUAAUUUCUCAAACCUGCAUGACAUUUACUAAUAAAAUCCUUGUUACAA